CACACUCAAUAAAACAUUCGGGAAUAAGUAGCUUAGCUGGCUGAUUACCUCAACUUUCACCUUAAUUUUUCACACUCAAUAAAACACAACGGUCUAAUUCUACCUAGCGGAGACUAUUGAAAAACUGGAGUCUGAUCUUUUUGAGAGUUGAAAGAGCAUCUUCCAUGCUAAUUCUUGCAUCAGGUGUCACUACAGUGCAACUCAAAGCUAAUUUCAUGAUAGAUGAAAAACACUGCAUCUUUGCAUCGAUUUGUUCAUCCCCUGGCGUAUCAAAUUGGAAUCCACCACCUUAUGAAUACCACUCGGAAAAGAAUCAUUAAUCCAACAUCGUAUAUUCAUUUCUCCGGUAAAUAUUUCAUCACUUGGUCGCCUUCUUGUGAACAUCUCCAUUAUCACGAUGCCAAAACUAUAAACAUCACAGCUGGUGGAGACUAUUCCGUCUUGUCCAUAUUCUGGAGCAAUAUAUCCAAUGGUUGCUAUUGUCCUUGUUUGAACAAAAUCCUCCCCUGCACCUAACAAUUUUGCAAUGCCAAAAUCACUGACAUGG
rnacentral:misc_RNA from 1 species